GAAGAUCAAACUCUGGUCAUGUCUCUGACUCUGAGCUUUCCUAGUCUGCAGAAAACAAAAAAGAAAAUCAUAUACACGACCAUAGCAAGUUGAAGAUUCUGUUUAAGUCAAGAGAAUAAUAGAAGAAAGUGUGACACAAACUCCAGUACAUAAUAAGUGCUCGAAAAUGAGAAUUCUUUAUCUAAAGUUCCUAAAGAUAGGCUAGCUCAUAGUAGUUCAGACCAGUGACUUAUUCAACAUUUUUAUCUUAGGGAAACAAACAUAUUAAUGAGGCAAGGUCUAUGCCCAGCAAGAAUGCUGAAUUGGAGUAUGGUAGACCUGCUCUUUUCUAUUAUGUGUCAAUCACAAAAACAGAUAAACCUUAUUCAUGUAAUUCCCAACUGAGAGAUGCUGUCUCAAAAAGGGUUAUGUGUGAUAUUUUCAAACAGUAUCAUUGAUCAACUACUACUAUGGCUAUGGAAUUUGGAUCACAGAACAUAAGAAAUAAGGGACAAUGUUCCAAAUAUUUCAUCUACUCAAUCGUUUGUAGAAAUAUUUUACAAUCCACUGUAUAAAUCAAUCUAACAAAACAAAACAAAAAAAUAACAACGGAAGAUUCAUACUCACCACCAGUGACUAGGGAGAGACUUGCCUAUGCCGAGGAGGGAGUAGUUCGAAGAGCCUCGCCAAUUUCAAUUCCUCCGCCAAGAUUAAAACAAUCGUCGAAAGGGCCGCCGAUUCCGUCACAUCCCCUCCGACGCUUUUAUAUCAAUCAAUAUGAUUGUGAGAUUACGCAGCAAAAGUGAGACCCUCAUUCUAAUGAAAUUGUUACAAUGUUUGCUUCUAUUAGAAUUUAGGGUUCGUUGAUUAAAUGAUUUAUGCACUUAAACCA
rnacentral:lncRNA from 1 species